rnacentral:rRNA from 1 species
UACGAAGGGGGGCUAGCGUUGCUCGGAAUGACUGGGCGUAAAGGGCGCGUAGGCGGCGAUCACAGUCAGAUGUGAAAUUCCUGGGCUUAACCUGGGGGCUGCAUUUGAUACGUGGUUGCUUUGAGUGGGGAAGAGGGUCGUGGAAUUCCCAGUGUAGAGGUGAAAUUCGUAGAUAUUGGGAAGAACACCGGUGGCGAAGGCGGCGACCUGGUCCUUGACUGACGCUGAGGCGCGAAAGCGUGGGGAGCAAACAGG